AUGAUACAAAGAAUACAACUUGGUGGUCGGCUUCAAAUGUCUCAGAACCAUCUAACCCGUUUGCAAGAUAUGCCAAUUUAAAGGACGUAUGGUUUGAUCUAUCCAUCACAUCUAACUGGAGAGCCCCAGCGAAUUUGUACUGGAUCUGUGGUAAGAAGGCCUAUUCGGAGUUACCACAGGACUGGGAAGGGGCAUGUGUGUUGGGUAUGUUAAAACCAUCCUUCUUCUUGUUGCCUAUUGAAAUAGGUGAGACUUUAGGUGUUAAAGUGUAUGAUGUGAAUCAUAGGAAGAAAAGGGGACCCAUAGAGAUAGGUGCCUGGGAAGAUAAUGAAUGGCCUCCCCAGCGUAUUAUAGAUUAUUAUGGGCCAGCCACGUGGGCAGAGGAUGGUACCUUUGGUUAUAGAACCCCUAUUUAUAUGCUCAACCGCAUUAUAAGGUUACAGGCGGUGGUUGAGAUCAUUACUAACGAGACAUCACAAGCGC